UAGGGAAUAUUGGACAAUGGGGGCAACCCUGAUCCAGCCAUGCCGCGUGAGUGAAGAAGGCCCUCGGGUUGUAAAGCUCUUUUGUCCGGAAAGAAAAGCUUCGGGUUAAUACCCCGGGGUUCUGACGGUACCGGAAGAAUAAGCACCGGCUAACUUCGUGCCAGCAGCCGCGGUAAUACGAAGGGUGCAAGCGUUACUCGGAAUUACUGGGCGUAAAGCGUGCGUAGGUGGUUGUUUAAGUCUGAUGUGAAAGCCCUGGGCUCAACCUGGGAAUGGCAUUGGAAACUGGGCAGCUAGAGUGCGGUAGAGGGUAGUGGAAUUCCCGGUGUAGCAGUGAAAUGCGUAGAGAUCGGGAGGAACAUCUGUGGCGAAGGCGACUGCCUGGACCAGCACUGACACUGAAGCACGAAAGCGUGGGGAGCAAACA
rnacentral:rRNA from 1 species